rnacentral:rRNA from 1 species
GUAGGGAAUAUUGGGCAAUGGAGGCAACUCUGACCCAGCCAUGCCGCGUGCAGGAAGACGGUCCUCUGGAUUGUAAACUGCUUUUGAAUGGGAAGAAACGCACUUUUGCGAAAGUGUUUGACGGUACUAUUAGAAUAAGCACCGGCUAACUCCGUGCCAGCAGCCGCGGUAAUACGGAGGGUGCAAGCGUUAUCCGGAUUUAUUGGGUUUAAAGGGUGCGUAGGCGGCUUGAUAAGUCUGGGGUUAAAGGCGGCAGCUUAACUGUACGCAUGCCCUAGAUACUGUUGAGCUUGAGUGACCUGGAGGUAGCUGGAAUUCCAUGUGUAGCGGUGAAAUGCAUAGAUACGGGGAGGAAUACCGAUUGCGAAGGCAUGUUACUACGAGUAAACUGACGCUGAUGCACGAAAGCGUGGGGAUCAAACAGGAUUAGAUACCCCUGUAGUCC